rnacentral:snRNA from 1 species
GGGUUGAUUCGGCUGAUCUGGCUGGCUAGGCGGGUGUCCCCUUCCUCCCUCACCGCUCCAUGUGCGUCCCUCCCGAAGCUGCGCGCUCGGUCGAAGAGGACGACCUUCCCCGAAUAGAGGAGGACCGGUCUUCGGUCAAGGGUAUACGAGUAGCUGCGCUCCCCUGCUAGAACCUCCAAACAAGCUCAAGGUCCAAAUGGACUGUUUUUAAUGAGAGAAUGAGACCUUUGAGCUGUGGUAAGGAAGGAGCACCUUGGCAAAGCACCCUUAGUAGUAAGAGGGAAAGAAAAAAGGCUGACUAUCUUUUACUCUAUCUUG